rnacentral:rRNA from 1 species
GGGACUGCGGAGGACAUUAUCGAGUUUUGAACGGGUUGUUGCUGGCCUUUCACAGGGCAUUGUGCACGCCUGGCUCAUCCACUCUUCAACCUCUGUGCACUUUUUGUAGGAAAAAUGGGUUUGAAGCUGAUGCAAAUCAGUAGAUGCCCCUUUCCUAUGUUUUUACUACCAACGCUUCAGUUAUAGAAUGUUUACUUGCGGAUAACGCAUUUAUAUACAACUUUCAGCAACGGAUCUCUUGGCUCUCGCAUCGAUGAAGAACGCAGCGAAAUGCGAUAAGUAAUGUGAAUUGCAGAAUUCAGUGAAUCAUCGAAUCUUUGAACGCACCUUGCGCUCCUUGGUAUUCCGAGGAGCAUGCCUGUUUGAGUAUCAUGGAAUUCUCAACUCCUAAAUUUUUGUUAUCAAAAAUUUGGUGAGCUUGGACUUGGAGGCUGUGUCGGCUCUAGUCAGUCGACUCCUCUGAAAUGCAUUAGUGUGAAUCUUACUGAUCGCCUUCAGUGUGAUAAUUGUCUACGCUGUUGUUGUGAAGUAUCUAUAUAUUCAUGCUUAUAACUGUCUCUUCUAGAGACAAAUUUUAUGACUUCUGAUCUCAAAUCAGGUAGGACUACCCGCUGAACUUAAGCAUAUCAAAACCCGGAAGAAAAAUAAA